rnacentral:misc_RNA from 1 species
UCCGGUUUAUCACCGGCAGUCUCCCUAGAGUUCCCGGCCAAACCGCUGGCAACUAGGGAUAAGGGUUGCGCUCGUUGCGGGACUUAACCCAACAUUUCACAACACGAGCUGACGACAGCCAUGCAGCACCUGUCUCCUCGUGUACUGCUACAAAGCCGUAUUUCUACGGUUGUCAAGGGAUGUCAAGCCUAGGUAAGGUUCUGCGCGUUGCUUCGAAUUAAACCACAUAAUCCACCGCUUGUGCGGGCCCCCGUCAAUUCCUUUGAGUUUUAGUCUUGCGACCGUACUCCCCAGGCGCCAUACUAAUUGCGUUAGCUUCGCCACAGCAGGAGUAAAACCCCACUACAGCUUGUAUGGAUAGUUUACGGCGUGGACUAC